AAUAUACUCCCUCUGUCCGGAAAAGCUUGUUCCAAUCUUGUUCCUCAAAUUGAUGUAUCUAACACUAACUUGAUGCUAGAUACAUCCAAUUGAGGGACAAGCUUUUUCGGACCGAGGGAGUAUUAA
rfam:Triticum aestivum genome assembly, contig: Triticum_aestivum_CS42_TGACv1_scaffold_320418_4BL